rnacentral:rRNA from 1 species
UACGAAGGACCCGAGCGUUAUCCGGAUUUAUUGGGUUUAAAGGGUGCGUAGGCGGACGCGCAAGUCAGUGGUGAAAUCUCCCAGCUUAACUGGGAAACUGCCAUUGAAACUAUGUGUCUUGAGUACAUUUGAGGCGGGCGGAAUGUGUCAUGUAGAGGUGAAAUUCUUAGAUAUGACACAGAACACCAAUUGCGAAGGCAGCUCGCUAAACUGUAACUGACGCUGAGGCACGAAAGCGUGGGGAUCAAACAGG